GAUGAACGCUGGCGGCGUGCCUAAUACAUGCAAGUCGAGCGGACGGACGAGAAGCUUGCUUCUCUGAUGUUAGCGGCGGACGGGUGAGUAACACGUGGAUAACCUACCUAUUAGACUUGGAUAAUUUCGGGAAACCGGAGCCAAUACUGCAUGAUAUUUUGAACCGCAUGGAUCAAAAGUGCAUGACGGUCUUGCUGACACUUUUAGAUGGAUCCGCGCUGCAUUAGCUAGUUGGUAAGGUAACGGCUUACCAAGGCAACGAUGCAUAGCUGAACUGAGAGGGUGAUCGGCCACACUGGAACUGAGACACGGUCCAGACUCCUACGGGAGGCAGCAGUAGGGAAUCUUCCACAAUUGGCGAAAGCCUGACGGAGCAACGCCGCGUGGGUGAUGAAGGUCUUCGGAUCGUAAAACUCUGUUAUUAGGGAAGAACAUAAGUGUAAGGAACUGUUCACGUUUUGACGGUACCUAAUCAGAAAGCCACGGCUAACUUCGUG
rnacentral:rRNA from 1 species